CACAUUACACACUCCGCUAACUUCAGGUUAAUAAUAAUAAUAAUAAUAAUAAUAAAUUUUAUUUAUAUCCCACCCUCCCCAGCCAAAGCCAGGCUCAGGGCGGCUAACAACAAACAAAUAAACAAUCAAAUAAUCCAACAUUCUAAAACAUUUCAUUAUAAAAAUUAAUUAAAAUCAAAUUAAUGGCAACCGUUAAGCAAAGUUCUGUGCAGGUUGCCAGAGGAGGGAGUCAGGCUGGGCCCUGACCAAAGGCCUGGUGGAACAACUCUGUCUUGCAGGCCUUGCAGGAAAGAUGUCAGGUCCCGCAGGGCCCUAGUCUCUUGUGACAGAGCGUUCCACCAGAUUGGAGCCGCAGCCGAGAAAGCCCUGGCUCUAGUUGAGGCCAGCCUAACCUCUCUGAGGCCUGGGACCUUCAGGAUGUUUUUAUUUGCAGACCGUAGGUUCCUCUGUGGGGCAUACCAGGAGAGGCGGUCCCGUAGGUACGAGGGUCCUAGGCCGUAUAGGGCUUUAAAGGUUAAAACCAGCACCUUAAACCUGAUCCUGUACUCCACCGGGAGCCAGUGCAGCUGGUAUAGUACCGGAUGAAUGUGAUCUCGCUGGUAUUCCCAGCCUCAACAAGCUCAGUCAAUGAGUCGCCAGGGGGAGCAAGGUCCUGCAAGGCUUGGCGGAAUCUAUCAGGGUCCAUCAGCCUCUGCGGGCGAGCCCAAAUCGGCUCGCCACCUAAGCAGGGGUGGGGGUGGAAAGUCAAUCCUGGCUUUCAGAGCGUAGUGAUCAGACCAUGGUACCUUAAUUGGAAGGAGACAUGAUCACAUCUAUACCUACGCCAAAGAUCAAAUCUUGAUGUGUGGGGCCUGAAACAAACUGGGAGAGCCCUAGUGUUGCCAUGGAAGACACCAGGUCCAGAGCCUGUGAGGAGGGAGGGGCAUCAGCAUGGAUGUUGAAGUCCCCCAUACCAAUAGGUUAGGAACCCAAGGCCCAGCCGGCCACCGCCUCCAGCAGGCCUGACAGGGUGGCUGCUGGUGCGCUAGGUGGCCUGUACACCAGCCAGACAGCCAAGCUCACCUCAGAGCCCCAUACUAGGCCAACACAUUCAAUGCCGGGAUCGAUGGCGAUGGUAGAGCCCUGAAAGGACAAUCUUCCCGGAUUAAUAAUGCCACCCUCCCCCGGCCCACAGUCCGCGACUGGUGGAGGACGGAGAAACCCGGGCGCCAUCUCACGUAGGUAACUGGUGCCCCUUCGCGUACCCAGGUCUCCGUCACACAAGCCAGGUCGACCCCCUGCGAGGUAAAGAAAUCUCGCAGAGUGGCGGUUUUGUUGCCUAUAGACCUGGCAUUGCACAACACCAGUGACGGAGGUGAACUUUGCUUCAGGAUAAGAACAGAAAUGGGGCUCCGGGCAGCAGCGGCAGCAGGAGGUCCCAUUAGCUAAAGUGGUGCUUCAGGUUAAGAACAGUUUCAGGUUAAGAACAGAGCUCCGGAAUAAAUUAAGUACUUAACCUGGGGUACCACUGUAUCUCUCCCAUAUGCUCAUUAGUAAUUUCCCAAUUAUAUGGUUAUAAAAACUUUUAUGUACCUUCCCUUUCCCAUGCCAUAAAUAUGCGUGCCUGCCAAAUCUGUUGUCAUGUCCUUCCAAUUCUAAUGCUUCUUGCUUUUCCAAGUUCACCCAGUUCCUAAUCCAUACAAGGCAUGCAGCUUCAUAAUAUAAUGAAAGAUCUGUGAGGGCAAAACCAGCUCUGUCUUUUAUGUCUGUAAGUAUCUUGUGUUUUAUCCUUGGCCUUUUGCCCCGCCCCUCCUCCCCGAUAAACUUGGAAAUUUCUUUCUGCCACUUUUUGAAACAUUCAUCUUUCACAAUUACUGGGACUGAUUGAAAGAGGAAUAGCAUUUUUGGCAGAACAUUCAUUUUAACCACUUAAAUUGAUCUAUUCUAAAUACUGGCCUAUGCAAUAGCCUGAUCUAUUUGAAAGCUUAAAAUGCAUGAGAAUCCUCCAUUAGGGUGUAGGCAAUAAAACACUAUACAUUGAACAUAAAAGCAAUUAUACACAAAAAUUGGGUCCCCCCUUUGUGGAAAUAACAUACUGUCAUUCACAUGUUAGCAUUCCUACAUAAUAUCACACAAUACACCACAUACUAAUUAAAUAUCAGUUGCCUAUCUUGAGGCAAUUGUGAUCUUUUACAUAUCUUUUCAAUCCUGGGGCACAGAGUCUUGAGGUUUAAAAGGUGAGAGAAUGUGCUUGCAAUUCAACUUUCUCCCCUUUGUCAGCCCCCUCCCUGUCCAUCUAUAUCUUUGGAAAGAGAUAGCUGUGGCCACUCUGGUGUCUUUUGUUAUUGUUGUUGUUGUUGCAGGUAAUAAAUAGUCUUGUGGUGACGAGGUCUGUGUUGACAUCUGUAGAAGGGAUAUCCUGUAAGCGGGGGGUGGGGGGGGAGCAGGACUUUUGGGACUUAAAGACACAGUUAUAAAGGGAAGAGGUAAAAACCAAAAAGGGGAGAAUCUCCUUGAGUUUUCUUGGGAAGCUGCAAGCAUUUUAUUCAGUUCACUAUUAUUAUCUUAGAGAGUUAAGCAUUUUAUUCAUUUCAAUAUUAUGAUCACAUUUCCAUAUACCGGUAUUUACUACUGUUAUUAUAUGCU